GAUGAACGCUGGCGGCGUGCCUAAUACAUGCAAGUCGAGCGAACAGACGAGGAGCUUGCUCCUUUGACGUUAGCGGCGGACGGGUGAGUAACACGUGGGUAACCUACCUAUAAGACUGGGAUAACUUCGGGAAACCGGAGCUAAUACCGGAUAAUAUUUCGAACCGCAUGGUUCGAUAGUGAAAGAUGGCUUUGCUAUCACUUAUAGAUGGACCUGCGCUGUAUUAGCUAGUUGGUAAGGUAACGGCUUACCAAGGCAACGAUACGUAGCCGACCUGAGAGGGUGAUCGGCCACACUGGAACUGAGACACGGUCCAGACUCCUACGGGAGGCAGCAGUAGGGAAUCUUCCGCAAUGGGCGAAAGCCUGACGGAGCAACGCCGCGUGAGUGAUGAAGGUCUUCGGAUCGUAAAACUCUGUUAUUAGGGAAGAACAAACGUGUAAGUAACUGUGCACGUCUUGACGGUACCUAAUCAGAAAGCCACGGCUAACUACGUG
rnacentral:rRNA from 1 species